AUAGAAAAAAAUUAAAAAUUAAAAUGAUUCUUUUUAUAAUAUUGAAGAGUAAAAUAAAUUAUUAUAUUUAAUAUAAAUAAGACGAUAGAUUCACAUGGAUUGAAGGACAUGGAAUUAAAUUUAAUUAAUUAUAUAAAGAAAUUAGUGGAAAAGCGAGCAUGAGAGGGUCUCACUCCAAAGUCCAAUCACAGUGUCAUGUGUAGUCUGCUCUGCUCUGCGUUGCAUUGGGGCUGCUCUAGUUUGACUACACCAAACCAAGUGCACAUUUGCAUCUGUGUUACGUACAUUAUUGUAAUAUAAAUAUAUAUAAAUGAAAAUGCUAUCUCCUUUUCUUUUAUUGGGUUCAUAUGAACGCAAUCACAUUCACUCUUUUGAAUAAUAAUAAUAAUGGCAUAGGUCAUGCAGUCAAAGAAUAGGGCAAAAUAACAUUAAAGGCCCAUUUUUUUUUAAAUUUAUCGAAAUGGGUUCGGUAUUUUAUUAUUUAUAGGAAUGGGCCCUUUUUCCCGAAAACGCGUCCCCGUCAGAGCGAUGUCAUGGGACGUGUCAGCAAAACGCGUCCCUGGGGGCGCGCUUUGCUUGCAUGGACACAAAGCGCGCUUACGAGGACGCGCUUUGCUGCCAUGUAGGCAAAGCGCGCCCCUGGGGACGCGUUUUCCCCGCGCGUAAACAGUGCAACGGUCAUUUUUUUUACCGUUGCCCCCCCAACGGUAAAAAAAACCCUAUAAAACCCCUUACCCUUUCAUUUUUUUUCACAAACUAAUCCCCUUUCAAUUAUUUUCUCAAUUUUCUCUCAAUUUGCUUUCAAGUUGCUCUCAAUUUCCUUCUAAAUUUCUCUCAAAUUCAUAUUUAAUUUUAUUUUGCUCUCAAUUUCAUCUUAAAUUUCUCUUAAAUCCCUAUUUUUAAUUAUUUUAAAAAAAAUUUUAAAUCGUAAAAAUUUGUAUGAAUUUAGCAAUGGCCGGAGAAUUGAUUCGUCUUGAUAACUAGCACAUAUCCAUCGAACAAAUGAAAAUGUCUGUAGAUCGGAUAUUAGAAUGCUAUAUCCGGAAUAUGCAUGGUCCUCCAUCACCGUUGGUAGAGAAUUACCUGCGGGAAGCAGGUUUUUGGCACGUGACGACGGUAGGCCGGGGAUGCAAGUUGGACCUGAAACUUAUCAGUGCGUUGAUCGAGAGGUGGAGACCCGACAUGCACACAUUCCAUCUUCCAUGUGGAGAGUGCACUAUCACUUUGGAAGAUGUAAAUCUGCAAUUGGGAUUGUCGGUGGACGGGUACCCAAUCACCGGGUCUGUUCAAUCUGGCGAUUGGGGAGCGGUGUGCUACGAGCUUUUGGGCGCUAUUCUGGAGAAAAUUAACGGAGGUCGGAUCGAGAUGGGUUGACUACGAGACACAUUCCCGGAGCCGGAUGAUGAUUCAACUGAAGUAGAAAUAAUUCGAUAUGCUCGGGCAUACAUUCUUCAGAUAAUUAGAGGUUGUCUGAUGCCGGACUUGUCACGGAACCUCGUACAUCUAAGAUGGCUGCUGAAACUCGUUAAUUUUAAAGUAACUAGUGAAUUGAGUUGGGGGUCUACCGUCUUGACAACAUUAUAUCGGCAAAUGUGCAGGGCGACGCGACCAAGUAAAGCGAAAAUCGGAGGUUGCCUAUCACUACUGCAGUCAUAGGCACGGUUUCGCUUUCCAUUUCUACGUCCUCGAGUGGACCACUCAUAUACAUUCCCAUUAAUAAGGAGGUAAAUUUUAUAUUAGAUUUUUUACAAUUAUUAUGUAGAUUUUUAAAAAUAAUAGUAUGCUAAAAAUUUCUUUAAUUAAGUGGAACUAUCCAGCAAGUUAUGCUCGAUUACCUACCUCUCUUGAAGAUAUACGGCUUCUAUUAGACCAAUAGUCGGAAGCACAUUUUCAAUGGACACCAUACGAGGAUCCGACAAUUCGGGCAGUAAUUCCGGAUGAGUUCUUAUAAAAUCCAAACGCUUGGCACGCGAAAGUCGCGUUGAUCAGCUAUGCGACUGUGGAGAUGCACCAGUCAGACAGAGUGUUACGGUAAUUUAGAUAUAGACAAACAAUUCCUGUGGCACCUGAGGUGUUUGAUGAUCAACACAAAAUUGACCUACGGUAACUGCAUACGGAUUGGCCGAGAUUCUGGUCCCACUACAUCGAAAUGGGGAAGAUUGGUAUGAGUAUAUACCUACUAUAGAACCGAUCAUCGUUUCGGAGUUAGCGUGCGUACCGGAAUACAUGCCAUGGUUUAGGAUCCAUGGCAAGUUAUAUUUACUGUCGGCAGAAGAAAGGCAGCGGUAAUUGCGUGUCCAAAGGGAACGACGUGGGCCUUUAAAUCCAAGACGAAAGGACGACAACGCAGACCCAUCAACAAGGCCCAGAAAUUCACCUGGCCCAUCAUCAGCGCCCAUAACUUCAUC